rnacentral:rRNA from 1 species
UACGAAGGGGGCUAGCGUUGCUCGGAAUUACUGGGCGUAAAGGGCGCGUAGGCGGCACAGUUAGUCAGGCGUGAAAAUUCCUGGGCUCAACCUGGGGAUUGCGCUUGAGACGGCUGCGCUUGAGGACGGAAGAGGGUCGCGGAAUUCCCAGUGUAGAGGUGAAAUUCGUAGAUAUUGGGAAGAACACCGGUGGCGAAGGCGGCGACCUGGUCCGUUACUGACGCUGAGGCGCGACAGCGUGGGGAGCAAACAGG